AUAUGAGAGAAAAGAGGAAAGAGCAAACCGUCUCCAGGCUUUAGAAAGAGAGAUAGAGAAAUCAUAUGAGAGAAAGGAGAAAGGAGCAAAUCCUCUCCUUUAUGGACGACCUUUGAUGAAGUAAUCAAGAAAAGGGUUGCGAGAAUGUGUUUGGGGAAACCUAGAUCUAGGGAAUGGGAAAAUACUCACCACAGAGAAUUCAAGAUAGUUUGUUUGUUUGUCUCCCUCAGUUUGCAUCAUCUCACAGGACUAGUCAGAUCUGGUAUUUUUCUUUCACGCAUAGUUUCUUCUCUGUUUCUCUUAUACAAUUUAUUUAAUUUUCUAAAGUUAGGAGGCAUGAUAAGAAAAAAAUAAUCCAUAAUCAUCUCUUUAAAGAUUUCUCGUUAUAUCCAAAACGUUUGAUAUCUAAAUAAGAAUUAAUUUUGCCCAUAAAUUGCAUUGAAAACUACAUGUGAAACAUAUCAAAAAUAAGUCUCAACACGAAGUUAAAUGUUUAAAUUUUGAUCGCGGACCGAGUUUACUACAAGAUUCAAUAUAGUAAAAGUAAAAGAUGUUUCUCUUACGCGUUGACAUAUCAACAUUUUGGUGUAGCCAGGAGUUGACACACCAUUAAAAUCAACAUCCAAUCAAAAUAUUUCGAUUAAUACAACUCAUUGUGCCUCAGCCACUAAUAAUAUUCCUCUGUUCCAAGUCAUUUAAAAAAACUGAUUGCUCGAGUAUUACACUGAUACACUUAAUUGGAAGGUAGUAUGUUCGGGAUCGAUCCACAAGAGUAAAGAUACUCUAAAGAUUUGCGAGACUCAUUCUUAGAUAUAGAAAAAUGGUUUUUGUUUGGUUUUUGCUCAUGUAAAUAAGAACGCAAAUAAAUAGAGUAAUAGACAAUUAAACUUGUGAAUUAAAACAUUGGGCAAUAGGGUAUUUCAAAGAAUCAAUGACUAACAAUGAAAGAAACAAAGGAUUCAAGCAUGAAGCUCUGAACCACUCUGCUUCCCAUCUCUGUAACUGCUGAUAUUGCUUACCAAAAUGACUUGUUUUCACGAAA